CCUACGGGAGGCAGCAGUGCGGAAUAUUGGUCACUGGACGAGAGUCUGAACCAGCCAAGUAGCGUGAAGGAUGACUGCCCUAUGGGUUGUAAACUUCUUUUAUAUGGGAAUAAAAUGUUCCACGUGUGGGAUUUUGUAUGUACCAUAUGAAUAAGGAUCGGCUAACUCCGUGCCAGCAGCCGCGGUAAUACGGAGGAUCCGAGCGUUAUCCGGAUUUAUUGGGUUUAAAGGGAGCGUAGGUGGAUUGUUAAGUCAGUUGUGAAAGUUUGCGGCUCAACCGUAAAAUUGCAGUUGAAACUGGCAGUCUUGAGUACAGUAGAGGUGGGCGGAAUUCGUGGUGUAGCGGUGAAAUGCUUAGAUAUCACGAAGAACUCCGAUUGCGAAGGCAGUUCACUGGACUGCAACUGACACUGAGGCUCGAAAGUGUGGGUAUCAAACAGGAUUAGAUACCCUUGUAGUC
rnacentral:rRNA from 1 species